GGCGACCGCUUUUGGAGUUCGAUUAAGCCAUGCGAGUCGAGAGCCUUAGGGGCUCGGCAUACUGCUCAGUAACACGUGGAUAACCUGCCCUAUUGUCUGGAAUAACCUCGGGAAACUGAGAACGAGGCCGGAUAGCCCACAAUGCCUGGAACGGUUUGUGGGUGAAGAUAGGAUGGGUCUGCGGCGUAUCAGGUCGUAGGGGGUGUAAUGGACCUCCUAGCCAUCGACGCGUACGGGUGUUGGGAGACAUAGCCCGGAGAUGGAUUCUGAGACACGAAUCCAGACCCUACGGGGUGCAGCAGGCGCGAAAACUUCACACUGCAGGAAACUGUGAUGAGGGAACUCCAAGUGCAUGCACUAUGUGUAUGCUUUUCUUAACUAUUAAUCGGUUUUGGAAUAAGGGCUGGGAAAGACCGGUGCCAGCCGCCGCGGUAAUACCGGCAGCUCAAGUGGUCGUCGCUUUUAUUGGGCCUAAAACGUCCGUAGCCUGUUUGGUAAAUCUGUGGGUAAAUCAACCAGCUUAACUGGUUGAAUUCUGCAGAGACUGCCAGACUAGGGACCGGGAGAGGUGUGGGGUACUCUAGGGGUAGGGGUAAAAUCCUGUCAUCCUUAGAGGACCACCAGUUGCGAAGGCGCCACACUGGAACGGAUCCGACGGUCAGGGACGAAGCCUAGGGGCACGAACCGGAUUAGAUACCCGGGUAGUCCUAGGUGUAAACGCUGUGAACUUGGUGUCGGGGAUCCGUAAUGGGUUCUCGGUGCCGGAGUGAAGAUGUUAAGUUCACUGCCUGGGGAGUACGGUCGCAAGGCUGAAACUUAAAGGAAUUGGCGGGGGAGCACUGCAACGGGAGGAGCGUGCGGUUU
rnacentral:rRNA from 1 species